GCUGCGGCACAUGGUUUGAAAAACACUGAUCUAAAGGAUUACCUCAACUCUUGUACUAUUAUUCAUGAGAGCUGCUGAAAUUCUUACUUGCUCAUUGUCGGUAAGCGACAGUGGCGUGUAGUCAGGGCCUCAGAUGAAUUGUGUUCAUUUAUUUCUGACACUCUUUGAUAUUCGUUCGACAGCAUAUGUCUUGGAUGCGCUGCUUCCAGUUGUUUGUGGGUUCAUUUGUUUUCGUCCAAUCGGAUUUUGGCUUCUUGUGUUGCCAUUUAAAUGUACAUUUUAAGGUAGGCCUCAGCAUGGAAGUAGGUGUACAUAACAUCUACUGCACAUGUCGUUCACAUAGGAAUCGGGGUCAUCUGUGCUGUGGUGCUUUGGCUCGUCGUCAUAUUUGCGGUCCUUUGGAAGACACUCAUGAGCGACCCCAACAGAGAUGGAACACCUGCUGAUUGUCGCUUCAUUCACGGGCAACUUCCCACCCCGUGUCCUCGGGCUGAUGGCCCAUACUGAGUUGGACUCAUUUUUUCUGUGCCAUGCAUUGCCGUGGAGUCAACGCCUGGCUUGAAUAACAAAAAGGGAAAUGUCUACAGAUAUCAAAGAAUUUCUUUAAAAUGUUAUAAUAAUAAUAA